UACGUAGGUGGCAAGCGUUGUCCGGAAUUAUUGGGCGUAAAGCGCGCGCAGGCGGCCUUUUAAGUCUGAUGUGAAAGCCCCCGGCUUAACCGGGGAGGGUCAUUGGAAACUGGGAGGCUUGAGUGCAGAAGAGGAAAGUGGAAUUCCAAGUGUAGCGGUGAAAUGCGUAGAGAUUUGGAGGAACACCAGUGGCGAAGGCGACUUUCUGGUCUGUUACUGACGCUGAGGCGCGAAAGCGUGGGAGCAAACAGGAUUAGAUACCCCGGUAGUCCCUGAG
rnacentral:rRNA from 1 species